GGGCGCCGGGCUGGGGCCGCAAAGGUCCCAGGGAAUUGGGGGGGGGCGCUCCCACAUUUUCCCCGCAAAGCCUUACCGCAAACGCCGCCUUCUCCAAAAAUACCCAUUUAAAAAUAAAUAUACAUAUAUAUAUAGAAUAACCGGGGGGGUCCCGCGAGCAGCCGCUUGCUCAGCACCGCCUUGCCACCCCCACCCCCCCCACCCCCCCGCCACCGGGGCCGGUGCCCCGGGCUCCCGGCAGGUUCCCACGGUGCCGCCCGCCCCCGGGCCGCCCCCCGCCCCGGGGAGGGGGCACCCCCGCCCGCCCUGCGCACCCGGUCCUCGCCCUCCAUCUCCCCUCACGUUCUCUUCCCUUAGUUUCCUUUAUUUUCUCCUUUUUUCUCCCUUUUUCUUUUUUUCUCACGUUUUUCCCGUUUUUCUUUUUUUUUUUCACCCCCCCCCCCCCCCCUCCCCGGAACAUGAAAUUCUCUCCGGGCCGCCCCUCCUCUCCCGGGCCCCGCGGAGGCGGCGGGGAGCGGGCAGGAGGCAGCGGAGCGGUGCGGAGCUCACAGCCCCUGGCCCUGCACCGGGCAUUGCCCCCCCCGGGGAUGCAGAGCCCUCCAGGAACUGGAAAAUCCGGAUUUGCAGCAUCUCCCAGGGAAAGAUGAUUUCCUACGUGCCCCCCCAGCGCGAGGGUCCUGCUGAAGGUUAAACUCGCGAGUGCCUCUGGUUUUGCACCACGUUAAUCUCCCCCCAAAAUAAAAAGACCCAAGGGAAUGCCGGUGAGAACUGCCCCCAUGUUGCCAGCUGUCCCUGGCUUCCGUCCCAUCCCUCUUCCAGAGCCCGGCACAGAUUUCACCACCGCUGCUGGCAUUAAAUGUUUGUCCCCACACCGUGCUGUGGUCUGCUUCGGCUUUCCUGCCUGAAAACAAGGUAAACCCAUCUGCCUCCCCGGGGUACAUUAUCAUGGCUUAAAAUUAACACUCACAAAUGUAUUUUCAAAUCCCUUCAUGAAAGGCGCCAGAAGUGCUAGGUGUUAUUAGAAUAGAUCUUUCGCCUUUUAACAGCUGUUAAUUGCCAUUAAAACCAAACAUCCACA